AUGCGAAUCACCUGGGGAGCUUGUUAAAAUGCAGAUUCUGAUUCAGCGGGUCUGGGGUGGAGCCCGAGAGUCUGCAUUUCUAACGAGCCUCCAGGUGGUGCGGGC
rnacentral:pre_miRNA from 9 species